rnacentral:tRNA from 1 species
UCGGGGCGUGGCUCAGCUUGGGUAGAGCGUUUGGUUUGGGACCAAAAGGUCGAAGGUUCAAAUCCUUCCGCCCCGACCAU